rnacentral:rRNA from 1 species
AUGUCCAAUACAAUUAUAGCAAGUUUAAUUCAUCAGGGAACCCAAUUCAUUGGUAGGCGGAAGCACGUUUUAUUAGCCAGGAAGAAUGCUUCUGUAGUAUUGAAAUCUCGUCAGAAAAUGAUGCUUCUAUUGGUCAAGAAGAAUGCUUCUGUGGUAUUGAAUUCGUCAGAAAAUGAUGCUUCCAUUAGUCAAGAAGAAUGCUGCCGUAGUAUUAAAAUCAUGUUACCAGUAAGGAAACACAUCUUAAGAAAUAUCAGAAUUAGCUGCUUGAUUAUUUAUUUGCGAGAAUAUAAUUUUAGGAAGUCGUUUUAG